GACGAACGCUGGCGGCGUGCUUAACACAUGCAAGUCGAACGGAAAGGCCCUGCUUUUGUGGGGUGCUCGAGUGGCGAACGGGUGAGUAACACGUGAGUAACCUGCCCUUGACUUUGGGAUAACUUCAGGAAACUGGGGCUAAUACCGUAUAGGAGCUCCUGCUGCAUGGUGGGGGUUGGAAAGUUUCGGCGGGUGGGGAUGGACUCGCGGCUUAUCAGCUUGUUGGUGGGGUAGUGGCUUACCAAGGCUUUGACGGGUAGCCGGCCUGAGAGGGUGACCGGCCACAUUGGGACUGAGAUACGGACCAGACUCCUACGGGAGGCAGCAGUGGGGAAUAUUGCACAAUGGGCGGAAGCCUGAUGCAGCAACGCCGCGUGCGGGAUGACGGCCUUCGGGUUGUAAACCGCUUUCGCCUGUGACGAAGCGUGAGUGACGGUAAUGGGUAAAGAAGCACCGGCUAACUACGUG
rnacentral:rRNA from 1 species